CAGGGAGGGCAGGGGAGGGAGGCUGUGUGCAGGCCUGCCCUGACUGCCGCCCCCCGCAGG
ensembl:miRNA